rnacentral:rRNA from 1 species
UCUUCCGCAAUGGACGAAAGUCUGACGGAGCAACGCCGCGUGAGCGAAGAAGGCCUUCGGGUCGUAAAGCUCUGUUGUUAGGGAAGAACAAGUACGAGAGUAACUGCUCGUACCUUGACGGUACCUAACCAGAAAGCCAUGGCUAACUACGUGCCAGCAGCCGCGGUAAUACGUAGGUGGCAAGCGUUGUCCGGAAUUAUUGGGCGUAAAGCGCGGGCAGGCGGUUUCUUAAGUCUGAUGUGAAAGCCCACGGCUAAACCGUGGAGGGUCAUUGGAAACUGGGGAACUUGAGUGCAGAAGAGGAGAGUGGAAUUCCACGUGUAGCGGUGAAAUGCGUAGAGAUGUGGAGGAACACCAGUGGCGAAGGCGACUCUCUGGUCUGUAACUGACGCUGAGGCGCGAAAGCGUGGGGAGCGAACAGG